ensembl:lncRNA
AUGCCCGGAAUCUUUCCGCCGUUGUCAAGGCGACACAGAUGGACGCCCUCCAGUGCUCCUGAGUGGGGAGGCCAUGGACUUCACCAUGAUUUUCACAAUGGAACUUCUGGAUCUGCAGCUGUGGAAGAGGCCCCCAUCUUUGUCCAUAUUGGUGCCAAGGAAAUCACUGUACCCUGCCAGGCUGCGAGGACAGAUUUUGCAACUGGUGUGAAUCUAACCUAUACCUGGAACCUGGAAAAUGGAGAAACACAUUCCAUCCAUGGUGAUGCUUCCUUGACUCUACGUAAUUUCCAUGCUGAGGACAGUGGACUAUAUGGUUGCCGCAUCUCCUAUGUGAAGGAAGACCAACUUCAUUCCAUGAUUUUCUAUCAUCCAGUGGUAGGCUACCAUAUACGUGCAGGUUUGCAGGUUCUACUGGUUUUUCAAAGCAGCUCAUGUGAUAAGGCAUUAACAGAUGGGGUCCUGAAGACCCUGAAGGAGCACCUGAGUCGCAUUGUGUCCCACUUUCAUUGUGAGCUCCUACUGGGGACUAGGAGCUGCUUCUCCACCGUGGAAAAACCUUUGGAUGAAUUUGAUCUCCAGGUGGAACUAGAAGUAUCUCCCUUUGGGAAAGGCUGGGAUGAAUCUUGCUACUCUAGGACUGAUACGAUGGCUUUAGAGUGUUUUCAUUCAGUUGUUCACAGCAAUCUGCAACAGGCUAAGGAAGCAAUUACCAGAUACAUGAAGGAGAACAAACGCUUUCUUUCAAAAAAACCUGGUGCCUCCUUUGUCAACACUUUUUCCAACUUCCUGGAGAGUGGGGAAUGCCAGGAGGGUUUUGGACAGACACAGGAGCUACAGGCACGCUGUCCUGACUGCUGUAGUGAGUGGAGCAGCCUUAUGCCCUCCUGGAACAUAUAG